AAGUCUAACCUGCCCAAUGAAUAAUUGAAUGGCCGCAGUAUUUUGACUGUGCAAAGGUAGCAUAAUCAUUAGUUUUUUAAUUAAAAACUGGAAUGAAAGGUUGGACGAAAAAAUAACUGUCUCUUUAUUAAUUAGUUAAAAUUUUAUUUUUAAGUUAAAAAGCUUAAAUAUUUUUAAAAGACGAGAAGACCCUAUAGAGUUUUAUAUAAUUUUAUUUAAUAAUAAUAUUUUAAUUUUUAAAAUUUUAAAUUUUUUUAUAUUUAAUUGGGGUGAUUAAAAAAUUUAAUUAACUUUUUUUUUAUUAAGUCAUUAAUUUAUGAUUUGUUGAUCCAUAAUUUAUGAUUAUAAGAGUAAAUUACCUUAGGGAUAACAGCGUAAUUUUUUUAGAGAGUUCUAAUCGAUAAAAAAGUUUGCGACCUCGAUGUUGGAUUAAAAUUUAUUUUUGGUGUAGAAGCUAAAAGAUUAGGUCUGUUCGACCUUUAGAAUUUUACAUGAUCUGAGUUUAAACCGGUGUGAGCCAGGUUGGUUUCUAUCUUUAAUAAUUUUUGAUAUUUUAGUACGAAAGGACCAAGUAUAAGUAAAAUUUAU
rnacentral:rRNA from 1 species